rnacentral:misc_RNA from 1 species
GAUGAAGAACGCAGCGAAAUGCGAUAAGUAAUGUGAAUUGCAGAAUUCAGUGAAUCAUCGAAUCUUUGAACGCACAUUGCGCCCGCCAGCAUUCUGGCGGGCAUGCCUGUUCGAGCGUCAUUUCAACCCUCGAGCCCCCCCGGGGGCCUCGGUGUUGGGGGACGGCACACCAGCCGCCCCCGAAAUGCAGUGGCGACCCCGCCGCAGCUUCCCCUGCGUAGUAGCACACACCUCGCACCGGAGCGCGGAGGCGGUCACGCCGUAAAACGCCCAACUUUCUUAGAGUUGACCUCGGAUCAGGUAGGAAUACCCGCUGAACUUAAGCAUAUCAAUAAGCGGAGGA